rnacentral:rRNA from 1 species
GAUGAACGCUGGCGGCGUGCUUAACACAUGCAAGUUGAACGAAGUGGCGGAUGGGCGCGUAACACGUGAGGAACCUGCCUUUCACAGGGGAAUAACACUGGGAAACCAGUGCUAAUACCGCAUAGUGAAAGAUGGGCUCGCGCCUGAUUAGCUAGUUGGUGAGGUAAUGGCUCACCAAGGCGACGAUCCCUAGCUGGUCUGACGGAUGAUCAGCCACACUGGGACUGAGAUACGGCCCAGACGCCGACGGGAGGAAGCAGUGGGGGAUAUGGCACAAUGGCGAAAGACUGAUGCAGCGACGCCGCGUGGGGGAUGAAGGCUUUCGGGUUGUAAACCUCUUUCCAUCGAACAGGGUAGGUGGAGAAGAAGCGCCGGCUAACUACGUGCCAGCAGCCGCGGUAAUAC